rnacentral:misc_RNA from 1 species
CGUAGGUGAACCUGCGGAAGGAUCAUUAUCGUACAAAAUGUGAGGGGCAUGCGAGGGCUGUCGCUGACCCAAAAGUCGUGCACGCCCGAGUGUGUCCUCUUGCAUAAUAAUCUAUCUCACCCUUUGUGCAUCACCGCGUGGGCACCCUUCGGGAUCAUCUCGGAGGGGGGCUCGCGUUUUCACACAAACCCCCCUUUUAAAAGUGUAGAAUGACCACAUUUAUGCAAUCAAUACAACUUUCAACAACGGAUCUCUUGGCUCUCGCAUCGAUGAAACGCAGC